UCAGGAAUGCUUUUGCUUGCUUUGACGAAGAAGCAACAGGGUUUAUUCAAGAGGACUACCUGCGAGAGCUGCUGACGACAAUGGGAGACAGGUUCACAGACGAGGAGGUAGAUGAGCUCUACAGAGAGGCACCGAUCGACAAGAAGGGGAAUUUCAACUACAUUGAGUUCACGCGCAUCCUUAAACACGGAGCAAAAGACAAGGAUGACUGAGCAAAUCUUUGGAUGCCUGCAGAUUAUUUCUACUUUACACUUAUGUUUAUUUUUGAGGGUUUUUGAGGGUAGAAGUUGUUGCAUGCAUUUAGCUUUACAGCUUUUGCCUUUCUCAAUGUAUUUAUCUAUUCCAGGCCAUUUAGGCACAUCUGCACCUGUGUAAUCAGACUGGAAGUGGGGAACAUAUUGAGGAAAAGCAUAUGGGGACAAAGAUCAGUGAACUUUAAAGUCCAUGAAAAUAAUCUCAAUGUUUCUGGUUUAGCUGGAUUUUUACACUUUUUGUAACAAAUGCCAUUUUGAAAUAAAGUUUGCUAUAUAGAUUAAAAUAUCUCAUUCUUUUGUGGAGAGAGGAAUUUCUACUACGCAUUUACAAAUGCAGGUCUUAAUCAUAUUUUAUUUGCAGUUGCAAAUCAAGCUCAAACACAUUUUCAUAAUGUAUUGUUCUCUGUAGCAUAAUUAUGAAAUGCUCCUAGCAGUACAUGCUGGUGUCUUUAAAAAUGAAGCUGUAUAAAUCUGUUAUAACAGUUUUUCCAAGUGGAAUAUAACUGGUAUAAAUAGUUAGCCCAAGAAAUCUUCAGGGAAGACUUAGAAUUGCCUAAUUGCCAGCAGGGAGCAUUUAUGAUUCUUGCCUAGAGGCAGUUAUUUUGCCUAGUUUUUAUUUCCUUUUUCUAUUGAUAGUUUUUCAGCAAUAUUUUUAUAUCAAUGUUUGUGUUCCCAAGUUUGCAUUCCUUAGUUUGCAUUCCUGUUUUUUUAUACUGGCAAUAAGUGGGAAUUGGGCAUACUUUUUCCUUCUGUUGAAGGAAGCUCGUGCAAAGGCAUCUAUGGGGUAAAAAUGUCUGUGCUGGCGGUGAUUAAUAGCGAUACUUGUCCAGAAAACCUCCAUAAAUUUUGUUCUGCAGCUAAUGGCAUUUGCAUGGGAGAAUGUCAGCAAAAAAGUUCUUAGAAUUAACUUUGUAAACCCUAUGUGUGGUAAAACCACUCUCACUACUUAAAUGAUCAUAUGUUUUAUUCAUCUACCUGAUAUUGAUUAAAUGUCUUUUGCACAAACAAAAUUCAUUCAUACAAAAACAGCUGUGUUGAUGCUGUUCUCUUGAAUAACAAGAGAAAGUUCAUACUCAGUUCUCAGAAUGACUACAUCCUUCCAUAUUUCUCCUGCCCUUAGCUCCUACAAGCUAAGCUCCUACAAGCUAAAAAAGCAUAAGAGGAAUCCAUCUUGCCUACAUAACAAACUUACCUGUUCAAGAGAUGACCUGUUAACCAGAAACCCUGCCCUGAGCUAUUUCACGAGACCCAAAAGAAUAGGAAUCUUACUUUACCUAAAAGGUGUGAGAAGAUUGGGCCAAUAUGAAAUGCCCCAGGAUGCAAAUACUCUACAAAAAAAAUAGUGUUUGUCUAACUUCCCGUGUAGAGUCAUGGAUGACUUGGUUUCUUAAUCUUGCCUGUGUUCACAUGUUCUGUCUUUAGCUUUAUAAAUCAGAUGAUUUUACACACAAUAAGCAUACUUUGUUCAUUCCUUGUUGGUUUCGUUUACUUCUGGGCUUAAUUAAAAUUGCUUUUCACCAUUA